rnacentral:lncRNA from 1 species
CCGGUGUGUCAGAGGCCAGGUUUAGGUUUAAGAAGCCAUGCAUACUGGUGGGUGAGUGGAAUAUACAGUAGGUCUGGAGGUAGAAGGGAGGGAGCCGGUGUGUCAGAGGCCAGGUUUAGGUUUAAGAAGCCAUGCAUACUGGUGGGUGAGUGGAAUAUACAGUAGGUCUAUGAGUGAAAACCAGACUGUACAGUGAAUGAGUUCCCACAUCAACUCAGCUUUAGCCAUGCAGCCAUCGUGCCUUCUCCUUGGAACACACACUGCUAGUCGUACACAUCAUAUAGCACAUAUCAUCCACACCUGGUGAUUAUGUUGGGAUUUACAAGCCAUUGACCAUUACGAACGCCUCACUUUUAUUUUGAAAGUCAUUUAUUUUAUGUAGAAUGUGUGAAUAUCUUCUGUUGGAUUGGGAUGUUCUGGCCUUUUUUCUUCCAUCGCUAGUUCAACCAGAGACAUCUCAGCGUCAGUUUAACAGCGUCAGUUUAACAGCAUCAGAUCGAAGCCCACACGCACCAACACAAGCACACCAGUGGAGGAUGGCUCAUAAUAUUGGCUGGAAUGGCAUAAAUGGAACCAAACACAUUUGAUACCAUUCCGUUCACUCCAUUUCAGCCAUUAUUAUGAGCCAUCCUAGCCUCAGCAGCCUCCACUGAAGCGCACACACACACACACACACACACACACACACACACACACACACACACACACACACACACACACACACACACACACACACACACACACACACACAAAAUACUGCCAUGUCCGCAGCAUCAUCUGUAUCCCAUGGUUACGUGUCAACCUCUGGAUGACACAGGUUUAUCCUACAAAGACACAAUGCUCAGACAUUGCUGAAGUGGUCAGAGGAUUAAUUGUACUAGCAUUGUCUGGUGCUAGGUGCACUAGAGUUGUUUUGGGGGGCACAGUCAGAUUGAGAUACUGGUUUGUAUUUUCUGUAACAGGGUGAGGAUGAGCCUGAGGAUGCGUGGAGAUGUGUGAGAGUUGGAGGAGUGGCACACACAGGGAGCAGGUCAGGGGUCAAGAUGUUAAUGCAUGUCACAGCUAACUGCAUGAGGAAUGUGCUUGUUUCAGAACUUGGGGAGAGGGGGUGGGCUUACUGUGCUGCCAGAGGUUUGGACAGGCUUCAGAUGUAUUUUAUUAACUCUUACCAACUUUACCAGAAACACG